AAUCCGAAUUUUAGUACAAACUUCACUUUCCGGGUACAAAGUUUGUGGCGAAGGCCCAUGCAUUGUUGUUAACGGGGUCGGCAAGAUGGUCAGCAAGGUUCUCCAACGGACCCUUUCCGGUAACAAUAGCCUGAACAAAGAAUCCGAACAUUGAGAACAUUGCUAGUCUUCCAUUCUUCAGCUCCUUCACCUUUAGCUCGGCAAAAGCUUCCGGAUCCUCAGCAAGACCCAAUGGGUCGAAGCUACCACCCGGGUAAAGUGGGUCGACAACUUCACCGAGGGGCCCACCGGCAAUUCUGUAGCCCUCAAUAGCUCCCAUCAAUACAACCUGGACACCCCAUAUGGCCAAUAUGCUCUGGGCGUGGACCAAGCUUGGGUUGCCCAAAUAAUCGAGCCCACCCUCACUGAAGAUUUGUGAUCCGGCCUUGAACCAAACCGCCUCACCGAAUUUAACACCGUUGCGUGCCAAAAGCUCGGGGAAGACACAUCCAAGAGCACCAAGCAUGGCCCACCUGGAGUGGAUCACUUCAAGUUCACGGUUCUUGGCGAAUGUCUCGGGGUCGGCGGAAAGUCCGGCGGUGUCCCAGCCGUAGUCGCCGGGGAACUCACCGGUCAAGUAGCUAGGUGCCUCACCGGAGAAUGGGCCCAAGUACUUGACACGGUCAGGGCCGUACCAUGGGCUGCUGGAUGCGGCGGGCUUGGGCUUGGCGGCGGUUUUCCUCAUUGAGAUCCUGCCGGAGCUGGUGAAUUCGGGGGUGGACUUGACUGCCUGUCCGGCGAAAGAUGGGGAAGAUAGAGCCAUUGAAGAGGCAGCCAUUGUUGUAAUUUCUCAAAUGAAAGACUAUAUGUAUUUGCAAGGUUGUUUGUUGAAUGGAUGAUAUUUUCCAUGGCAGACAUACUAAGGUAUUUAUAUGGAGUGGCCGUUAUCUCUUGAUAUCAUUAUCUGUAUUCCUAUUGGUAGGUGACAUUUGGCAAUCUUGACGUGGCAUGUCCAUUUUGGCAACGGCUAUCAGCCUAUCACUAUGGAGGUUUUAUCUAUUCUACACCCGGUGAAGGUUACACCGGGUGAUUUUUCACCGUUGAUCUACACACACCAAUGUGGGUGUGUGUGUGUUUGUGUGUAUAUUAAUGGUAAAGAUCUACCCGGUGUAUUUCACCCGGUGUAGGAUCUCAAAAGCCCACUAUGGAUAUAUGGGUAUUUCCCAUUGGCCUAUAAGGUUUUGCCAAGUGUGCGGUUGGAGAGUUCUGCAUGGAUAUUUCGCACGUGAGAAGCCAACGGCUACAGAAAUGUGUUUGUCUUUCUUAAGGCAGGGAUUAUAUAGAAGAAAUGUUGUGAAAAGGUGAUUAAAUAUAAGGUAUAAUUACUAUAGUGUAAAUAAUAAAGGCUGCAGAUAUUUGCAAGACGAAAAUUACUAAGUGCAAGACCUUACUUCAUGCAAGACCAAAAUAUAAAUAAAUUUACUAAGAUCAAGACUGAAAAUUACAAAUAUAACCCCAAUAAUAAUUUAGAUAUUAUUAAUUUAAAUUAAGCUAAUUGCUAUUGCAAGACCAAAAAAAAAAUACAAAAAAAAGAAUAAAAAGAGAGGGAACGCACUCCCCCAACAAAACACCAACAUCUUCUUCUUCACCCUCAUUUUACACAUUUUUUUCCACAAAAAAAUCUUCCAUAUUCUCCAAAACCCUUAUCACAUAAAACCCUCAAAUCUUACUAAGACUUUAAAAGAAGGACAUUAUGGAUACACAAGACAUAAAUAUGGAGGAUUCUAAGGUCGAAGAACACAAAGAGGUAAGAAAUAUUGUACUUUGUGAUCGUUUUUCUCGUUUUUCGCACCUCAUUUCACGUACAAAAAAUUCGACAUGUACAGGUCGAAAUAUCCGCUUAAUAUCGACAUAGUAGUGUCGCAAAUUUCAACAUAAUUCGACACUCCUUAACUGUCGAAUUAUAUUGAAAUUUUCGACAUUAUGGUGUCGAUAUUAAGCGCAUAUUUCGACGCUGGUGUGUCGAUUUUUUACUGUUACAAUUGUGUAACCAAAUUUCCGAUUUUUCUUGCAGAGUUUUGUACCUAGCGCGUGUAGUGGAGCUAAUGCAUGUAGGGAAUUAGCUUUGGAUUAUUCACAUGAAUUUACCACCCACGAGGAGUUUGCAACAAGGGACAAUUUAGUCACAUGGGUGCGCGAAGUUGGUAUGCGACUAGGAAUGAUAAUGUCAGUAAAGUCUUCAAAUUUGGGAAACCCAUCCAAAUUUGAGUACGAGCUUAAUUCAAGCAAAGAUAGUUGUUCCCCAAAGGUAAUUUUUUUGAAAUUUUUAGCUCAUAGUUCAUUUUUUGGUUUCUCAUUUAGUAAUACGUGAUAUUGGUUAAACAUUGUAGACUCCUAUUUCUGGUAUCCAAAAGCAACGUGAACAGCUUAUGCCGCAGCCGAUCACUGUAUCGAUGGUAACCGACAUCUUCAAUCGAAGCACCGGUAAAUCGACGGUGUUGGAAAAACUACCGGUAAUAUAUGCGUAAAAAUAUAUCAGUACAAUAUCGACACCAGCGUGUCGAAAAAAACAACAAUUUUCGACGCUCUAGCAUCGAAAUAUGUCACAUUUUUCGACAUCAACAUGUCAAUAUUUAUCAUAAUUUUCGACAUCAAUAUGUCGAUAUUUCGCUGUAAUUUUGUUUCUCAUUCUGUAUUACUAAUUUAACCUUCUUAUGUGCAGGUUCGAAAAAAAACUACCAAGUAUAUAUAUAUUAAACAAAUACAUCUGAAGUUCCGAAGAUAUGUUGGAGAUAUAAUAAAUGUUGCGUCAGAUGGUCAUUGUGGAUUUCGGGCGGUUGCAUCAAUGAUGGGCUUUGGGGAAGAUAAUUGGAGUCUAGUACGAAGAGAUUUGGUCGAUGAGCUCAUUAUGAAUGAUGCUAUCUACAUGAAUAUCCACAAAGUUCGAGAUACGCUUGAUGAAUUGGAAGCAAAAAUGAGGUGUUCGGUUACACCUGCCCCUUAUGAAAAUUGGAUGUCGUUUCCGGAUAUGGGUCAUUUUAUUGCUUCUAAAUAUGACAUUGUGCUCGUACUGAUAACGCAGCUGCAGUGUCUUACAUUUCUCCCACUCUCUAGUGACCCCAUCGUGUAACUAACGGUCCCUCAAUCUCGCCGGACCUAACCGUCGGUGUGAGACGGGGGAAAUGCUCGUAAAUCCAACCCUGAAGAAACGUCAAAUAUCCACUGAUUUGCUUCGUAUUAGCCCUUGAAGCAUCCGACAACGCCUCAUAGAGCAGACACAAACAAGCUGUACCCCAUGCGUAAGUCCCAAUAUUUUCCAAAUCUUCUAACAAACACAACAACUGCAGUGUACCCAUAUUCCCCGUCUUGUCCUGGAAUAUCGUACAUGACAAUACGUACAACAAAAAUGCCCUUGUCGCACACGUCUUUUUAUUCUCAUCAUCAAUAUCUGUCACAGAACUGAAAGUACUACGCAACCACUCCAACUUAAGCGCCUUCUGAUUUUGACCCCAACAUUUAUCCGUCGAUUCAAGCACUACUCCGAGAAUUCGAUUUACGAUUGCUUGUGACGAUGGCCCCGUCUUACUAAUUUGUUGAAUAAAUACCGGCCGUCCCACCACUGGCAAACCUAUCAAGCUGCUGACAUCGUCUAGCGUGAUAGUCAUCUCCCCAAAUGGUAAAUGAAACGUACAAGUUGCUGGUUGCCACCGCUCUAUGAAAGUCAACACCAAUGCACUAUCUAUCACCUUGUACGAAUGACGUACAAGGGGCAUCAAACCGGACCUCUCGACAACCUCGGUCAUAAAAGGAGCCAUCCGCCACUUCUCCAACAUUGUUGUGUGAUUAUGAACCCUCACACUUUCGCGCUCCUACAAUUUUAAUAAAAAUAAACAUUCAAUCAAUAAAGUAAAUAACUUCAAUAACAUAUGUAUAUGUGUGUCUAUAAGUGUAAAAGUACCUUUCCGGACAAAAUCUGUCGGGCGAUAUGAUUCUCAAACUGCGGCAUCAAGUCUGGUAUUUGUGGUCCUCUGGGGCCAGCCGAUUGGCUACUAGAUCCACCAACUUCGGUGGUCGAUGUGAGCGGUGGAUCCUCAAGUAUGGACAAUGAAGGCUCAACAUCGGUAGGUAAAUGUGUACGAUUGGCCGGAGGAUCGACCCGAGUAGCUUGAGAAUCGCCACGUCGAACUUUACGAUUGACCAAUGCUUUUCUCUUGCGCUGAGAAGCAGUUUGGGGAAUACGCGGUUCCACUGGAAAAAUAUAAAUAUAAUAUUAAUCAUUUAUAUAAAAAAAAAAAAAAAGUUUGCAAAAAAAUCAGUUUACCAGUCAAUUUUCGACAUCAUAGUGUCGAUAUUUGUACACAAAAUCGACAUAACUCUGUGUCGAAAAUUGUAUACAAAUUCGACACAGCAAUGUGGAAUAUUGCUCCAAAACUCGACACCGGGUUUAUGUCGAAAUUUUGUACACAUAUCGACAUUGAGAUGUCGAAAAAAGGUCCAAUAAUCGACAAUUGUUUGCUGUCGAAAUUUGAUUAAAAAAUCGACACCAGUGUGUCGAAAAUUUGCCAAAAAAUCGACAAGUACAGGUCGUUUUUUGUAAAACCGCAACUCCUUCAACAAUAGUGCUACAAUCGAACCCUAGAAUCAUCAACUAUGUUCUAAAAUGACUUGAAUUCAUUAUUCUAACAAUAAAAUUAUGUUUAUCACAUUUAUUUCUCAAAAAAAAGUUAAUUCAAAAAGUAAUUUUUACUUGCUUUUCGUGAGAUUGUUGUGGCGGGGUUGGGGCAACAACGGACUUCAACGGCGACGGGGAGGUGGUGGACUUCAACGGCGACGGCGACGGGGCGACGACGACGGGGCGACGAUUGAGUGCUGCAAUUGAUUUUUUUGUUUUCUUCUUUCCUUCUUCCCUCCUCGUUUUUCAAUUCUCAAUUCAAUUUCUUUUUUCUUUCUUUUUUUUUUUAUUUUUUCUUUUUUAAAUUGGUCUUGCAAAAGGAAAUUAAUAAAAUAAUUUUUAGGCUGCGGCUAUAUGCAAUACUCAUUCAACUUGUGCAAGACCAAAUUAAAGAAAGAUUCCAAAAGAUUCUAUUUUAUUAAGAUGGAAUGACAAGUAUGCCCAUAAAUUAAAUUGGCUUUUUUUUCUCAUGUAAGACCAAAUACAAAUAAUGAGAAAAAAACAAAAAUCGACACCAAGGUGUCGAAAAACUAUGCUACAAAUCGACACUUAAGCGUCGAAUUUCAUAGGUAAAAAUCGACAUUGACAUGUCGAAUUUAUAGCACAAAUUCAAAUGUCGAAUUUUAUACCUCAAAAUCGACAUCUAAAUGUCGAAUUUUAUACCUCAAAAUCGACAUCUAAAUGUCGAUUUUUAGCUGUAAAAUUCGACCUGUACAUGUCGAAUUCGUUUGUGCGGGAUUUUUUUUGGAAAAUCGAUAUUCUAGCUAAAAAAACCCAUAAAUGCAUACAUUCUUGGGUUCUUCCAUCGUAAAAUCUUCUAUUUUGAUGUCUCCUGACUCCAUACUUGCCAUCUUUGUAAGAUUUGUUGAGUUUUGAUGAUUUUGAAUUUCAAGGUUUUGCGGGUUAAUGGAGGAGGAAGGAGAAAGGUCUUGUGGGUUUUGGAAGAUGGAGAAGAUGAUAGUUGAUCUUGUGGUUUUGUGGUCUUGUGAUAGGGUUUUUUGUGUUUUUGAAUUUUUGGUCUUGCAUAUUUGGAAUUUUUUAUUUUUUUAAUAAAUAAGGGUAUUAUAGUAUUUAUACAUUGAAAAUUUUAAUUUGGUCUUGCACAAGUGGAAUUAGUCUUGUAUAUAGCCGCAGCCAAAUUUUUAUUUUGGUUGUAUUUUAUUAAGGUUAUUAUAGUCUUUUUAUACUGAAUUUAAUAAAAAAAAUUAAUUUGGUCUUGCCCUAAGUAAUUUUCGUCUUGCAAAUAGUCGCUGCCAAUAAUAAAUUAAAUUUAGGGUAAAUUUUGAAUAUUUUGAAGUGCUAAUUUUCACUAGAAGACUCACAAGUCUGCUUUCCUAUAAACACAACUUGUUUCUUUUUGCCACCAGAAGGUAUGAAAGGAAUACACUACACAGUUACAUACUUCCGGUACAUGUAACACAUCUAACUUGAGUGUCGGACUCUUUAAGUUUAGGACGCAUAAUUACCAAAACCUACUAGAUCCUAUGUUCUUCUUGCAAUAAAAUUUCGAAAAAAAAAAAGAAAAUAAUUCUGAUUUCUGAUUUUCCGAUUUUUUCUUUUUGGACCAAGAUUGGUGUAUAUAUGUUACUUUCCGAAACUAAUACCAAUUGUUUGUUUUUCCCAAAAAUUAGACUUACAAUAUUAAUAUUAUUAUGUAUUUUAUAAUUUAUAUUAUAGGUGCAUAGAAAAUGGAAUCUCUAAUUUCCGCCAAUUUCAGUACAAAGUUUUUAUUUCAAUUUAUGAAAUUUCGAUUUGAGAUUUUCCAUUUUUUUUUUAGAACAUAGAAGAAUUAAUGCAACUCCUUGAAUUCAAUUGGCUAAACUGUUAAACAUCAAGUAAGAUAUUUUUGGUAGAGCAUUAAAAUAUAAAAUAUAUGAAAAUCUCAACCACGGAAAUGUAGACUCAACCUCAGCCUCAAGAUCAUAUACUUACAAAACUUUGUUCAUUUGGAAAUAAAAAAUGUAGAGAAUUAAGUGGACUACAGAUUGGCAACUGGAUAGUGGGUACUAAGUAAUCUUGAAAGCCAAUGAAAUAAAGAGAUAUAGAUAUCAGUAGAUAAGACGACUGAUUGCAGUUCCUCUUCCCGCCUAUUUAUAACUACCAACUACCAAUCUCUACUUUCAUCGCCACCACCUCUUCCUCUUUGAUCAACUAACUGAUAAUAAACCCCAAAAAGAAAAGGAAAAACACUUCCCUUCCUUCAAUGGCUGCUUCUUCAAUGGCUCUAUCUUCUCCGUCUUUCGCCGGACAGGCUGUCAAGCUCUCUCCCGAAGUCACCGGCACCGGCACCGGCAGGAUCUCCAUGAGGAAGACCUCCGCCAAGCCCAAGCCCGCUUCUUCCGGCAGCCCAUGGUACGGCCCUGACCGUGUCAAGUACUUGGGCCCAUUCUCCGGCGAGGCACCUAGCUACCUCACCGGCGAGUUCCCCGGUGACUACGGCUGGGACACCGCCGGACUUUCCGCUGACCCCGAGACAUUCGCCAAGAACCGUGAACUUGAAGUGAUCCACUCAAGGUGGGCCAUGCUUGGUGCUCUUGGAUGCGUCUUCCCCGAGCUAUUGGCCCGCAACGGUGUUAAAUUCGGUGAGGCGGUUUGGUUCAAGGCCGGAUCACAAAUCUUCAGUGAGGGUGGACUCGACUACUUGGGCAACCCAAGCUUGGUCCAUGCUCAGAGCAUAUUGGCCAUAUGGGGUGUCCAGGUUGUAUUGAUGGGAGCUAUUGAGGGCUACAGAAUUGCCGGUGGGCCCCUCGGAGAAGUUGUCGACCCACUUUACCCGGGUGGUAGCUUCGACCCGUUGGGUCUUGCUGAGGAUCCGGAAGCUUUUGCCGAGCUAAAGGUUAAGGAGCUGAAGAACGGGAGACUCGCAAUGUUUUCCAUGUUUGGAUUCUUUGUUCAGGCUAUUGUCACCGGAAAGGGACCGUUGGAGAACCUUGCUGACCACCUUGCCGACCCAGUUAACAACAACGCAUGGGCCUUCGCCACAAACUUCGUACCCGGAAAGUGAGCUUAGGAGCACAAAUUGUUGUUAGUAACGUUGUAUUGGUGUAAAUGAGUGAUUAGUUUUCAGCAUUAAGAAUACGCAUUGUGCCAUUUUUUUUCCUUUGGUUUGAUUAUAUUGAUCGAGUAUGAUAAAUUGUAUAAUCUCAAUGUAUCGAACGUUUGCUUCAUUUAGCGGUCUAUAUAUGGACAAAAAGCAUUUAAUUCCUUUCAGGUGAGAUUGCACAAUCAAUUGCUUACUCAAAAAGAUGUCAAUGGCAAAGAAACACCGAGGAGUACAAUUGGACCAUCUUCGUGUCGCUGUUGAAACCCUCACGCCUCCGUCUGUUUCGAUGGCUUAUCCCGUUUAUUCUCUGCAAAUAUUUUCUGAUGGCGCGAGAUAUUUGCAACUCUCCCCCCAUACUAUUCUGCAAAGCUGAGAAUCUGCAAAUUACUUGAGAAAAUUCAGAGCUUACCUUGAGUAUGCGACGCACACGUGUGUAGAGUUGGUUUCAGUCACAAGCCAUCAUAGAUAAUUUGGAUGAUCUUUGGUAAAUCCCCAAUCUCUGGGAAGUUCACUAUUCAUGUAAAUUCAACUGUAAUGAAUUAUUGGAGGAAGAACAUGAACAAGAGAAAUCGAGCUUUUGGUGGGUAAUCCUUCCAUGGUCACUUUUUUAUUCAACAAAAGCAAAUACGUACGAGUUUAAAAAAAUCCAGCCCAAAUCUAUCCUAUCACCACUAACCUACCAAUCCAUAUCACCUGCCAUUGUUCAUGGAUAAUGGAUUUAAGUUAUGUGCGUAUAUACAUGUAUACAUCGAGAACUGAAUAAUCACUGAUGCUUGUUGUCUAAGCUCGAAAAUCUUUUGUUUUUCAAUUGCAGAUAAAUCAUUUAGAUUGAAUUGAAUUGAAAUCCAUCACUAGAUAUUCAAUUGUUAGUUGUUACCAGGCCUUUAACAUUAUGAAUCGACUAACGAAAUCGGAGAAUCAAAGAAUUGACAUUUCAACCGUUGUAUUCCGACUAAGAAUUCCUGAAUAAAGUGGGAAUCACACAUGCAUUAAUUCACACACAUAAUUAGUUGAUAAUAAGUAACCAGAAUAUAUUGUUUCAGCUAAUGUUCGACAAUUGUUUAUGGCACAAUUUAUGAGGGGUAUGGCCGAGGGAGGUCCGAUUCUGUAAGUUCAGUCCCUUUAAAAAUGAAGAAAAACUAACCAUCAGUUGCAAUAUUUGGUGAUUCCUAUGUCGGAAUCUGAUCAACUGAUCUACAAAUAUAAUGGAUAGUCUGUUUAUGGCCAGACAUCAACUGUACUCCGAUUGUAUGCAUGUCUUGUUCAAAUGCACUGUGUAAAAAUCCCGAAUUAGUCCAUUGGAGAUGUUAUAUUUCAAUUAUAUUGUUGUUCUUUGUUAAGGAUUUCUAUCCAUUUAUGCCUAAAUCUUAUCUUCAAUAUUGAAUCUUUUUUCAUUUAUAUCUCGGUGUGUAGAUAGUUUGACAGCUUCGUAGUUGAUAGCUCUUCUAGUUUUUGCAGCUUAGUUGGUACGUGAUACUCAUCGGAUUUGUUACUAUGACUCGAGCACCGGAAAAGCAGAUUCACAUUCGUUGAAUCCCAUAUAAAUAGCAUUAUAUAAAAUAUAUCAAUAAUUUACAUCAGCCUUAAUUCAUUACACUCUUCUAUGUGAACUUCACUUUCCAGGUACGAAGUUUGUGGCAAAUGCCCAGGCAUUGUUGUUAACUGGGUCGGCAAGAUGGUCAGCGAGGUUCUCCAAUGGUCCCUUUCCGGUAACAAUAGCUUGAACAAAGAAUCCGAACAUGGAGAACAUUGCAAGUCUCCCAUUCUUCAGCUCCUUUACCUUUAGCUCAGCGAAAGCUUCCGGAUCCUCGGCAAGGCCCAAUGGGUCGAAGCUACCACCGGGGUAAAGUGGGUCAACAACCUCUCCGAGGGGCCCACCGGCAAUUCUGUAGCCCUCAAUAGCUCCCAUCAAUACAACCUGGACACCCCAUAUGGCCAAUAUGCUCUGAGCAUGGACCAAGCUUGGGUUGCCCAAGUAGUCGAGUCCACCCUCGCUGAAGAUCUGAGAUCCGGCCUUGAACCAAACCGCCUCACCGAAUUUAACACCGUUGCGUGCCAAAAGCUCGGGGAAGACACAUCCAAGAGCACCAAGCAUGGCCCACCUGGAGUGGAUCACUUCAAGUUCACGGUUCUUGGCGAAUGUCUCGGGGUCGGCGGAAAGUCCGGCGGUGUCCCAGCCGUAGUCACCGGGGAACUCACCGGUGAGGUAGCUAGGUGCCUCACCGGAGAAAGGACCCAAAUACUUGACACGGUCAGGGCCGUACCAUGGACUGCCGGAUGCGGCGGGCUUGGGCUUGGCGGCGGUCUUCCUCAUUGAGAACCUGCCGGUGGUGGUGAAUUCGGGGGUGGACUUGACUGCCUGCCCGGCGAAAGUGGGGGAAGACAAGGCCAUUGAAGAGGCAGCCAUUUAUGGAAAUGGAAGGGAAGUGUUUGCUUUCUUGAGUGUGUAUGAGUAGAAAGAGGGAAGUAAGUAGUGUUGGUGAUGAUGACAAGGGAAGAUGGCAGUUAUUUUAUAGCUAGACGGGAGGAGGAGGUUGCUUCGACCAGACACCCGGUGAAAAACACCGGGUGUAGGGUCGAACAAAUCGGAGGAGGAAUGGUGGUUGAUCUUAUCCUGUGAUAUCUAGCCUAUCUCUUCUUUCAUUGGGUUUUCAAGAUCCCAUUGUAUCUAAGAUUUUUUUUUGGAGUUCUGCCAAUAAUAUCUCAAUUGAACACUCUGUAACUGGGACAUUCGGACUUGUACAUUAUUACAGAUAAUGAGCAAAGACAAAAGAAAAGUUUACAUUACUCUUAAUAAAUUAGUACAAGUACAUUUAAACUACAAAAUUAUCCUUUUAUUUGAAAAAUUAAAUAUAUACCCCUAAAAACUAAUUAUGUGUAACAAACUUUAAUAGAGAUUAUGAAAUAUUUUUUUUGCCACUGAAAAAGAAAAUUGUUAGAAUAUCCCAACAUUGAAAUGGAUGUUUUGCCCUUGUAUUAUUUAUUUUUUUUUAAAUGAAUUUUUUCAUAAAAAAAUAUUUUAUAAUUUAGAAGGUUACUUUCUCUUUUUUUUUUUUUUUUUUUUUUGAGAAUAAAGGUUACUUUCUCUUACUCAUACGUGUAUGCAGUGGCGAAUCCAGGAUUUUUGCCAAGGGUGUUCGAAAUUAAAUAUAGUAAAAAAUAUAAUGGUUGGCUAACAGUUUACGGGGGUUCGGGGGCAGCGUCCCCGAUUUUUUUUUUUUUUGAAUACUGUACACAUUAAAUAAUAAAAAAAAAAAAAUUUAAAGGGAUUAGUUUACCAUUUUUGGGCAAAUUUAGAAAAUAUUUAAACAUAAAAUUGGUGAAAAUAUUAAAGGAGUGGUAAACAUAUUAAAGUUGCAAGUGACAAAAUGUACGUUUCAUUAUCAUAUUUUGAAUGUUCAAAAAGAAAAAAAAAACUCACAUAGUUGUAAAUAUAGAAAAAAAAUUGAAAUAAUACAUAUAUAUACAAUAUUUAGAAUUUUGGAAUAAUUUAUAUUAUAUUUAAUAUUAAAGAAAUGGUAAAUAAAUUAAAGUUACAAAUAGCAAAAUAUAUGUUAUAUUAGGAGAUUUUUUUUAAAUAUUAAAAAAUACCUACAUAUUCAACAUUUUUUAAAACAAUUGAAAUAUUGAAUUUUGGAAUAAUUUAUAUUAUAUUUAAUAUUAAAGAAAUGGUAAAUAAAUUAAAGUUACAAAUAGCAAAAUAUAUGUUAUAUUAGGAGAUUUUUUUUUAAAUAUUAAAAAAUACCCACAAAUUCAACAUUUUUUAAAACAAUUGAAAUAUUCUAUGUAAUGGAAAAUUAGGAAUAAAAAAGAAAAAAUAAUAGAGAGGUUCAGACUCUUGUAAAGGUCUCGAACCCUGUACCUCUGCAUGAUUCUAUAGAGCACUUAACCAGUUAAGCUACAGCAAUGCAUUGGCCAGGUUUUACAUUUGCAGUUAUAUAGUACUAAAUAUAUACGAAAUAUAUUUUUUUUAAAAUCAAGGGUGUGCAGUAGCACACCCUUGGACCACACUAGAUACGCCACUGCGUGUAUGUCACUCGUACAAGAUGAAAUUCAGUAAAUAUUCUGGUCAGCAAAUUUUUCUAUUUUUUAUAAUUUCACCAGUCUGGUUGUUAAUUUUCAUCUUUUGGUGGAAGCAUUAGUUGUUUACUACUCUCUUUGAACAUUAUUUACAGUACAGUAAGAAAAGCUCUAGAACAUAAACUAACUAAAAAUAGUACUCUGCGAUUGGAUUCCUGAAGUCCAGUACACUUGAUGUUGUGGCAAUGCUUCAAUAUCAGGAUUUCCAGAUAUCCACACCAGAGCUCCGAUCCUCAUCCAUGCAUCUCGAUUUUCAUAAAUCAAUCUCCAGCCGCACACUUGGCAGAACCUCAUUGGCCAAAAGAUCCCAAGAGGAUUAGUGGUGAUAGCCGUUGCCAACUGUACAUAUAUGCCACGUCAAGAUUACCGAAUAUCGCCUGCCUAGCAAUAGCAACCUAGAUAAGGAUAUUCAUAGAUAAGCCCGAUUCAUAUAAAUACAUUCCCUCGUCUGCCUUAGAAAUAAACCCAUCAACAAACACAAACAGCCUCCUUUGCAAAUAAAUACACAUUCUUUCAUUUCAUAAUAUACAUCAAUGGCUGCCUCUUCAAUGGCCUUGUCUUCCCCCACUUUCGCCGGACAGGCAGUCAAAUCCACCCCUGAAUUCACCACCACCGGCAGGUUCUCAAUGAGGAAGACCGCCGCCAAGCCCAAACCUGCAUCGUCGGGCAGCCCAUGGUACGGCCCCGACCGUGUCAAAUAUUUGGGCCCAUUCUCCGGUGAGGCCCCCAGCUACUUGACCGGCGAAUUCCCCGGUGACUACGGUUGGGACACCGCUGGGCUUUCGGCUGACCCUGAAACGUUCUCCAAGAACCGUGAGCUUGAAGUGAUCCACUCCAGGUGGGCCAUGCUAGGUGCUCUUGGAUGUGUCUUCCCCGAGCUAUUGGCUCGCAACGGUGUUAAAUUCGGUGAGGCGGUUUGGUUCAAGGCCGGAUCACAAAUCUUCAGCGAAGGUGGGCUCGAUUAUUUGGGCAACCCAAGCUUGGUCCAUGCUCAGAGCAUCUUGGCCAUUUGGGGAGUCCAGGUUGUAUUAAUGGGAGCUAUCGAAGGCUAUAGAAUUGCCGGUGGGCCCCUCGGUGAAGUUGUCGACCCACUUUACCCCGGUGGUAGCUUCGACCCAUUGGGUCUUGCUGAGGAUCCGGAAGCUUUUGCGGAGCUCAAGGUUAAGGAGCUAAAGAAUGGAAGACUUGCAAUGUUCUCGAUGUUCGGAUUCUUUGUUCAAGCUAUCGUCACCGGAAAAGGACCAUUGGAGAACCUUGCUGACCACCUAGCUGACCCGGUUAACAACAAUGCAUGGGCCUUUGCCACUAACUUCGUACCCGGAAAGUGAAAUUGACAUAGGUAAUGAUGAAUUCGGAUUGAUUAAUUAAGGAUGAUGUAUGUAAAGUAGUGUGAAUUAUUGGAAUAAUUAAUAUAAUGUGGUUUUAUGUGCUUCAACGAUUUCUAUUGUUGCUUUUGCAUUCAUAUAAACAAACCUAAAUUGAGUUAGAUUACAUUAUAUUCACAAGGAAAUUAUGUUCAUAUUAUUUGAAGAACUUUUGUCCGUGCGGAUAAUCUCAAUCUGCUCAAUAAAUUAUCUGUUCAUCUGCUUACUUGGGAAAGUACUCAACGCCGACGUUUUGGCUGUGGCUAAUGGGCUAAUUACAUCAUCUAAUCAUACUCGCGCGGAUUUGAAGAUCCAGAAGUUAUGGGCCCAACGGAAGUGUUCAGAAAUCUCUCUCUCUCUCUCGCUUAUUUCUCUGUCUUCUUCGGUUCUUCACUCUUUCCUAUUUCAUAUCUUCAUUUCUGCAAAUUAUAUAUAAAAAACCUUCCAAUUCUGCAUGUUGUUCUUUAAACAGUUUCUCUUGAGAUCAGAUUUGAUGAGAUUCGGUGUGCAUAUCACCUGUUUGAUGAAAUUUAUGUGCGAACGAAAUUUGACAUCUUGCAAACUUUUUAGUAACAGAGGUAUUAGAAAAACUAAGAUCAACCAAUAAAAAUAUUAAGCAACUGUAACUCCGAAAAUCAUCAAGUUCUUGAAAGCCAAAAUCUGAAGUUGGGCGUUUUAUAUAUGGGCUGGAUUAGUUCUUGAAAGCCCAAAUAUGUUAAAAAAUUAAUAACAUCGAUUAUUUCUUCCAUUAGAUCAAACCCAUAUACACGAGGCAUUGCAUUAAUGCUUAAUACUAAUCACUCAUUUACACUAGAGAAUUAACAACAAUAGUGGGCUCACAUUAUCCCAACUGAAAACACAUUCACUUUCCCGGUACGAAGUUGGUGGCAAAGGCCCAUGCGUUGUUGUUAACCGGGUCAGCAAGGUGGUCGGCAAGGUUCUCCAACGGUCCCUUUCCGGUAACAAUAGCCUGAACAAAGAAUCCGAACAUGGAAAACAUUGCUAGUCUCCCGUUCUUUAGCUCCUUAACCUUUAGCUCGGCAAAAGCUUCUGGAUCCUCAGCAAGACCC
rnacentral:lncRNA from 1 species